rnacentral:rRNA from 1 species
UGGGGAAUAUUGGACAAUGGGCGCAAGCCUGAUCCAGCCAUGCCGCGUGAGUGAUGAAGGCCUUAGGGUUGUAAAGCUCUUUCACCGGUGAAGAUAAUGACGGUAGCAGGUAAAGAAACCCCGGCUAACUCCGUGCCAGCAGCCGCGGUAAUACGGAGGGGGUUAGCGUUGUUCGGAAUUACUGGGCGUAAAGCGCACGUAGGCGGACCAGAAAGUUGGGGGUGAAAUCCCGGGGGCUCAACCCCGGAACUGCCUCCAAAACUAUUGGUCUAGAGUUCGAGAGAGGUGAGUGGAAUUCCAAGUGUAGAGGUGAAAUUCGUAGAUAUUUGGAGGAACACCAGUGGCGAAGGCGGCUCACUGGCUCGAUACUGACGCUGAGGUGCGAAAGUGUGGGGAGCAAACAGGAUUAGAUACCCUGGGUAGUCCACACCGUAAAACGAUGAAUGCCAGUCGUCGGGUAGCAUGCUAUUCGGUGACACACCUAACGGAUUAAGCAUUCCGCCUGGGGAGUACGGUCGCAAGAUUAAAACUCAAAUGAAUUG